rnacentral:rRNA from 1 species
GGGCUCACACAAGCGGUGGAGGAUGUGGCUUAAUUCGAGGCUACGCGAAGAACCUUAUCCUAGUCUUGACAUGUAUGGAUUAACCCUGUGAAAGCAGGGCCACGCCUUCGGGUGGAACAUACACAGGUGCUGCAUGGCUGUCGUCAGCUCGUGUCGUGAGAUGUCGCGUUAAGUCGCUUAACGAGCGAAACCCUUGUCUCUAGUUGCCAGCGCGUAAUGGCGGGGACUCUAGAGAGACCGCCGGCGUUAAGCCGGAGGAAGGUGGGGAUGACGUCAAGUCCUCAUGGCCCUUAUGACUAGGGCUGCACACGUCCUACAAUGGAACGCACAAAGGGAUGCGAAACCGCGAGGUCAAGCAAAUCCCAUAAACCGUGGCUCAGUUCAGAUCGUAGGCUGCAACUCGCCUACGUGAAGGCGGAAUCGCUAGUAAUCGCAGGUC